rnacentral:rRNA from 1 species
AGUGAACGCUGGCGGUAGGCCUAACACAUGCAAGUCGAACGGCAGCACAGUAAGAGCUUGCUCUUACGGGUGGCGAGUGGCGGACGGGUGAGGAAUACAUCGGAAUCUACUUUUUCGUGGGGGAUAACGUAGGGAAACUUACGCUAAUACCGCAUACGACCUACGGGUGAAAGCAGGGGAUCUUCGGACCUUGCGCGAUUGAAUGAGCCGAUGUCGGAUUAGCUAGUUGGCGGGGUAAAGGCCCACCAAGGCGACGAUCCGUAGCUGGACUGAGAGGAUGAUCAGCCACACUGGAACUGAGACACGGUCCAGGCUCCUACGGGAGGCAGCAGUGGGGAAUAUUGGACAAUGGGCGCAAGCCUGGUCCAGCCAUACCGCGUGGGUGAAGAAGGCCUUCGGGUUGUAAAGCCCUUUUGUUGGGAGAGAAAAGCAGCAGGUUAAUACCCCGCUGUUCUGACGGUACCCAAAGAAUAAGCACCGGCUAACUUCGUG